AUCCAGCUGACGAGUCUCAAAUAGGACGAAACGUGAGUCCUCGAU
rfam:Schistosoma mansoni, Puerto Rico, WGS project CABG01000000 data, contig: 0097